AGAUUGAACGCUGGCGGCAGGCCUAACACAUGCAAGUCGAGCGGCAGCACGGGUACUUGUACCUGGUGGCGAGCGGCGGACGGGUGAGUAAUGCCUAGGAAUCUGCCUGAUAGUGGGGGAUAACGUUCGGAAACGGACGCUAAUACCGCAUACGUCCUACGGGAGAAAGUGGGGGAUCUUCGGACCUCACGCUAUCAGAUGAGCCUAGGUCGGAUUAGCUAGUUGGUAGGGUAAAGCCUACCAAGGCUACGAUCCGUAACUGGUCUGAGAGGAUGAUCAGUCACACUGGAACUGAGACACGGUCCAGACUCCGUACGGGAGCAGAGUAGGG
rnacentral:rRNA from 1 species